AGAGAAGGAGAGAGAAGGAGAAAGAGAGAGAGAGAAAGAGAGAGAGAGAAAAGGAAAAGAAAGAAAAAGGAAAGGAAGGAAAGAAGGAAGGAAGGAAGAGAGGGAGGAAGGGAGGAGGAGAAGCCAAAGCCUGCAAAGUUAUUUCACAGGGCACAACCUGCUUUUCCUCUGUAACUAGGCCAUCUGAAAAGACCUGAGCCACUUUUUCUCCAGGAGCACGUUAUAAAUGCUGCUUGCCAUUGCUACUGACCGCAGUAUGUUACGGCCGCAGGACAAGGGUGAGAACAGAAGGGAGGGGAAGGCAGUUCCUUUUAUUAGGACAUAUCAAGAUGAGCUAUGGGGGGAAACGGGGAGGAAAAAAAAGAUCAUUUACUUUCUUUGCAAAGACUGUUGGUAAAAUUCCUAAGGGAGACUAAGUGCCAAAAUUAACUGUCUUGGCGUAUUACUUUUAGACACUACUGCCUGGGUGAAUUAAGUCAAGUCUUUAAGCAGCAGACAAAGAUAGCUGCGAGCUGAAAAAGAGGCACUACAUUUCCUUGUUUUGUGGUGAAUCUCACAAAUUUGUGGAGAUUGUCUUUGCUCCAGGGUUUUUCAUCUCUCUCUCUCUCUCCUCCUGGGCUAUUUUUACUAUUUUCUGUUUGGCAUUAUAGAUGUGUUUUGCAACGGGAAGGCAAGGUAAGAAACAAGCAAUUGUUAAGAAAAACAGGAAAAGUUAAAAAAUAGAGGUGCAUCCAUGUGUACUGCAUCUAUUUAUACGGAUACGUACAUCCGAGAGUACCCGUACACACACGUCGUGUAAGGUAUUUUUCAUGACUCCGUCCUCCAAAAGGCAUUAUUUAGUAAAAGAUAAUAAACAGCUCUUGAACAGUGGGAUAUAGACUAGUGAAAACAGUUUACUGAAAUUAAUGAUGCUGGAUUGAACCAAACCUUCCCUUUGGAAUUAGUGCCAGACAUAGUUUUCCUGAACCCUGUCCAACUGCCUGAGCGACAGACAAUUUUCAUUCUAUUUGUGCUAAAGGCUUAUGACUAGUGCUGGAAAAUGAAGCCCUUGCCCUUGAUCUCAGUGCAGAUUAAAAAAAAAAAAAAAAAAAAGGCAGAACUGUGCCAAUUUGUUUCCUCUGCCAAUAGAAGCCCUUGUGCUUUGGGUAAUGCAGAACAAUAAAAAGUUCACAUGAAAACUCUCCAUUGAAAGGAAACCCACCAAGAGCCAUGUAUCUCUGCUACAUUCAUCAGCCAGCUUCCGAGAUUCUCACAAUGUCAGCAAAACGCAGAGGCAAUAACUCUGGGUUCCCUGAAGACCCCUUGCUGCAGCGGAGCACCGCUGUGAUGAGGCGAAGCCUGGGCACGCCAGCAGGGCGGACACAACGGGCGCAUCCCUGCCCUGUGAGCACUGCAAGAGGUGGAGGCGGGCACACAGCCGUGUCCUCGGAGCAGAUACGAAAGCAAUAAGCAUUUAUAAGCAAAACCCAAGAAAGAUAAAGCCUCGAGGGAAUUUUGUUUAUCUGCUGGAACGUUAUCGGUUUCGAGGGCUUUGUUUAAAACUGGGAAAAAUCAACAGCCCCCCCCAAUGAACAAAUUCCCCUUUUCUUCUCUAAACACGGAUGUCUGCCCUUCAAACCGUAUACUUUCGCCUCUCCAAUAUAUGUGAGCGGUAUUACGUGGAACGGCACAUGAAAGCUGAACAAACAGAAGGAAGUCAACCUCCACCCCACGAGCUUUCAAGUGAAACCCGACAGAUAAUCUGCUUUGCCAGUUGAUGGUUAACCUGCAGCUUUUUCAAUGAGCGCCACCACUCUCACUUAUUUUAGUUUCACUUCGCUUUAGUUUCACUUGUUCUUUGGUGGAUUCCCUGCUCACGAGGCUCUUGGUUGUGAUCGUGUUAAGCUGAGUUUGGACUGAAUAAAGUGGCCACUCGAAAAACGCACGGGGGAGAUGUCAGAUGAGGGAGUUGCAGAAAUAACACAACCGCCCAGGUUUGCGCGCACACACACAAACUCUUCACCUUUUUUGCAUCCUCCUUCAGUUUCUGUUUCCAAACAAAUUAAGGCAUCUGUCAUUCGGAGUUCUGUAUCUGCCAUCAAGCCCUGCUGGUUAAAACAAUCUGCAUAUGCAAAUCCAGCUAAAAGCUACUUGUACACAUUUGCAAAGCAAUUCCAAAAUCGCAAACAAGGCUGCGUUUCACGAGCCCCUGAACCAGCCCGAGCUAGGCCAAAGGAAAUAUUUCUUCUCGACUGCCUGGGCUUUUUUUUUUUUUUUUAAAUAAAUAAAUAUGAAGUUAA